AACCUCCGCAAUGUGAGAAAUCGCGACGGGGGGAUCCCAAGUGCCAUUCUUAACGGGAUGGCUUUUCAUUAGUGUAAAGAGCUUUUGGAAUAAGAGCUGGGCAAGACCGGUGCCAGCCGCCGCGGUAACACCGGCAGCUCUAGUGGUAGCAAUUUUUAUUGGGCCUAAAGCGUCCGUAGCCGGUUUAAUAAGUCUCUGGUGAAAUCCUGUAGCUUAACUGUGGGAAUUGCUGGAGAUACUAUUAGACUUGAGAUCGGGAGAGGUUAGAGGUACUCCCAGGGUAGAGGUGAAAUUCUGUAAUCCUGGGAGGACCGCCUGUUGCGAAGGCGUCUAACUGGAACGAUUCUGACGGUGAGGGACGAAAGUUAGGGGCGCGAACCGGAUUAGAUACCCGGGUAGUCCUAACUGUAAACGAUGCGGACUUGGUGUUGGGGUGGCUUUGAGCUGCUUCAGUGCCGAAGGGAAGCUGUUAAGUCCGCCGCCUGGGAAGUACGGUCGCAAGACUGAAACUUAAAGGAAUU
rnacentral:rRNA from 1 species